GCACGAAGUUAGCCGGGGCUUCUUCUCCGGGUACCGUCAUUCAUCUUACCCCGGGGCAAAGAAUUUUACCAUCCUAAGACCUUCAUCAUAUCGCGCAGCAUGGACUGCGUUCAGGCCUUUCGCCCAUUGCGCAAGAUUCCCCA
rnacentral:rRNA from 1 species